rnacentral:rRNA from 1 species
GCCUAACACAUGCAAGUCGAACGGAACUUCUUCGACAGAAUUCUUCGGAAGGAAGUUGAUUAAGUUUAAUGGCGGACGGGUGAGUAACGCGUGAGUAACCUGCCUUUGAGAGGGGAAUAACUUCCCGAAAGGGAUGCUAAAACCGCAUGACGCAUAUUUAUCGCAUGGUAGAUAUGCCAAAGAUUUAUCGCUGAAAGAUGGACUCGCGUCCGAUUAGCCAGUUGGCGGGGUAACGGCCCACCAACGAGACGAUCGGUCACCGAACUGAGAGGUUGAACGGCCACAUCGUGGCUGAGACACGGCCCAGACUCCUACGGGAGGCAGCAGUGGGGGAUAUUGCGCAAUGGGGGAAACCCUGACGCAGCAACGCCGCGUGAAGGAUGAAGGUUUUCGGAUUGUAAACUUCUUUUAUUUAGGACUCACAAUGACGGUACUAAAUGAAUAAGCUCCGGCUAACUACGUGCCAGCCGCCGCUGUAA